GAUGAAGAACGCAGCAAAAUGCGAUAAGUAAUGUGAAUUGCAGAAUUCAGUGAAUCAUCGAAUCUUUGAACGCACAUUGCGCCCGCUGGUAUUCCGGCGGGCAUGCCUGUUCGAGCGUCAUUUCAACCCUCAAACCCCCGGGUUUGGUGUUGGGGAUCGGCUCUGCCUCACGGCGGUGCCGCCCCCGAAAUACAUUGGCGGUCUCGCUGCAGCCUCCAUUGCGUAGUAGCUAACACCUCGCAACUGGAACGCGGCGCGGCCAUGCCGUAAAACCCCAACUUCUGAAUGUUGACCUCGGAUCAGGUAGGAAUACCCGCUGAACUUAAGCAUAUCAAAAGCGGAGGA
rnacentral:misc_RNA from 1 species